rnacentral:rRNA from 1 species
CGACUCUCGGCAACGGAUAUCUCGGCUCUUGCAUCGAUGAAGAACGUAGUGAAAUGCGAUACUUGGUGUGAAUUGCAGAAUCUCGUGAACCAUUGAGUCUUUGAACGCAAGUUGUGCCCGAGGCCUUGUGGCCGAGGGCACCCCUGCUUGGGUGUCAUGG